AAGCUCGUAGUUGAAUUUCGGGGUUAGUAGGUUGGUCAUGCCUCUGGUAUGUACUGGUCUCACUGAUUCCUCCUUCCUUAUGAACCGUAAUGCCAUUAAUUUGGUGUUGCGGGGGAAUUUGGACUGUUACUUUGAAAAAAUUAGAGUGUUUAAAAGCAAGCUAACGCUUGAAUACAUUAGCAUGGAAUAAUGAAAUAGGACGUUCGAUCUUAGUUUUGUUUGGUUUCUUAGGAUUGACGUAAUGAUUAAUAGGGAUAGUUGGG
rnacentral:rRNA from 1 species